GGCAACACAAGUUGGAAAACUAUUGAUUUUGAAUAACAGUUACUAUUACCUUGGUUACUGCGUGUGGAAAGCAUAAGUAAUGUAAACAAAACUAAUUCCGACUAGCUCGAGUGGAAUAUUGUCUUCUCGCGGUAAGUUGCAAAUACUCAAGCCUCAUUGCGUGUCAGAGGUACUUUAAAGAGAAGUCAUGGGCCAAGCCCUUAUCUUACUGACCCUUUUUGGACUACCUACUCUAAGCCCACCCAAGCCACUGGUAGAAUUUGCCAAUAAACCGAUUUUGAAAAUAUGAUAUGGCAGAUAGAGGUUCCCGUUGAAUUUAAGGUGUAUCAGGUACCUGAUAUUGACGGAAUCGUAUUUAAUUUUCUCGUGGAACCGCACCACUGAGAGCAGCUGACCUGACAGCAGAUGUGAAAUUUAUUCUUAUAGAAAGAUUUGAGCCAAAACCACUAAAA